rnacentral:tRNA from 1 species
GUAAUAAUAAUAUAAUGGUUAUUAUAUAGUGUUUAGGUCACUAUUAUCUAGGUUCAAUUCCUAGUUAUUACA